GAGGGUAUAGCGCAGAGGUAGAGUGUGUGCCUAGCAUACACAAGAUCCUGUGUUCAAUCCCCUGUACCUCCA
rnacentral:tRNA from 1 species